rnacentral:rRNA from 1 species
CAGUCGAGCGGUAACAUUUCAAAUCUUGCUUUUGAAGAUGACGAGCGGCGGACGGGUGAGUAAUGCCUGGGAAUUUGCCCAUUUGUGGGGGAUAACAGUUGGAAACGACUGCUAAUACCGCAUACGCCCUACGGGGGAAAGCAGGGGACCUUCGGGCCUUGCGCUGAUGGAUAAGCCCAGGUGGGAUUAGCUAGUAGGUGAGGUAAAGGCUCACCUAGGCGACGAUCCCUAGCUGGUCUGAGAGGAUGAUCAGCCACACUGGGACUGAGACACGGCCCACACUCCUACGGGAGGCAGCAGUGGGGAAUAUUGCACAAUGGGGGAAACCCUGAUGCAGCCAUGCCGCGUGUGUGAAGAAGGCCUUCGGGUUGUAAAGCACUUUCAGCGAGGAGGAAAGGGUGUAAGUUAAUACCUUACAUCUGUGACGUUACUCGCAGAAGAAGCACCGGCUAACUCCGUGCCAGC